AGCGAACGUUAGCGGCGGGCCUAACACAUGCAAGUCGAGCGAGAAAGUGGCUUCGGCCAUCAGUAAAGCGGCGGACGGGUGAGUAACACGUAGGUAAUCUUCCCUUCGAGCGGGGGACAACGGUUUCGAAAGGAACGCUAAUACCGCAUAAGUUUCCGAGGACUCUGGUUCUUGGAAGGAAAGCUAGGUCGCAAGAUCCGGCACUCGAGGAGGAGCCUGCGUCGCAUCAGCUAGUUGGUGGGGAAUGGCCUACCAAGGCGAAGACGCGUAGCUGGUCUGAGAGGAUGGAUCAGCCACACUGGGACUGAGACACGGCCC
rnacentral:rRNA from 1 species